rnacentral:rRNA from 1 species
UUCGCCUACGGGACGCAGCAGUGAGGAAUAUUGGUCAAUGGUCGGGAGACUGAACCAGCCAAGCCGCGUGAGGGAUGAAGGUACAGAGUAUCGUAAACCUCUUUUGUCAGGGAACAAAGGCGGGGACGUGUCCCCGGAUGAGUGUACCUGAAGAAAAAGCAUCGGCUAACUCCGUGCCAGCAGCCGCGGUAAUACGGAGGAUGCGAGCGUUAUCCGGAUUUAUUGGGUUUAACGGGUGCGCAGGCGGUCUGUUACGUCAGUGGU